rnacentral:tRNA from 1 species
GGUUCCGUAGUGUAGUGGUUACAUGCUCGCUUCACAUGUGAGAGGUACAAGGUUCGAGCCAUAGUAGAAUCA